AUGCCGCUCGUCUCGCUCCGGGCAAAGCUCAACACGCUUCUGGCCGUCAUGCACGCCUCGGGCGCGCUGGACGAGCAGUUCAAGCAGCUGCGGGCGAUGGAGGAGGAUGGCAGCGCGCCCCCGGGCUUCGUCGCCGACGCCGUCACCCUCUUCAUCCGCGACGCCGACAGGAUCCUCACCGACCUCGCCGGACUCAUGAAGCAGCGCGUGGUGGACGUCGACAAGGCGGACGCCCUGGUGCGUCAGCUCAAGGGGAGCUGCAUCAGCAUUGGUGCUAAGAAACUGGGCGUCUCCUGCACAUACUUCCGUCGGUUCUAUAAGGAAAAACCCAAAGGAUGCCUCUUUGUGCUGACUCUUUUGAGGAAUGAGUUCUAUGAUGUGCGCAACAAGUUCCAGACCAUGAUGCAUCUGGAGCAGCAAAUCGAGGCCUACAGUCCUAAGUAA
rnacentral:rRNA from 1 species